UACGAAGGGGGCUAGCGUUGCUCGGAAUCACUGGGCGUAAAGGGUGCGUAGGCGGGUCUUUUAAGUCAGGGGUGAAAUCCUGGAGCUCAACUCCAGAACUGCCUUUGAUACUGAAGAUCUUGAGUUCGGGAGAGGUGAGUGGAACUGCGAGUGUAGAGGUGAAAUUCGUAGAUAUUCGCAAGAACACCAGUGGCGAAGGCGGCUCACUGGCCCGAUACUGACGCUGAGGCGUGAAAGCGUGGGGAGCAAACAGGG
rnacentral:rRNA from 1 species